CUCCUAGUCUUCCUGACCCUAACCCUAACAAAACCCUGUUCACUUUAAUAAGUAACAAUACCUCUCAGGCCCUGAUGUGGGUCAUUGACCUGUGCCCUGGUGGGCUAAUCCCAUAAAAAAAUGGAAUCCUUUUGCAGAUUGGGGCAUGCCUGCACUCGGCAGCAAGUAACACCUCAUCCUCCACUCCUGCCUGGCG